AUUGAACGCUGGCGGCAGGCUUAACACAUGCAAGUCGAACGAGUGGCGGACGGGUGAGUAAUGCUUGGGAAUUUUGCUUAUGGAGGGGGAUAACUACGCGAAACUGUAGCUAAUACCGCGUACUAUAGGAUGAGCCCAAGUGGGAUUAGGUGGUUGGUGGGGUAAAGGCUACCCAAGGCGACGAUCUCUAGCUGGUCUGAGAGAGUGACCAGCCACCAUGGGAAUGAGACCCGGCCCAGACUCCUACGUGAGGCAGCAGUGGGGAAUAUUGCACAAUGGGGGCAACCUGACGCAGCCAUGCCGCGUGAAUGAAGAAGGCCUUCGGGUUGUAAAGUUCUUUCGGUAGCGAGGCGUUAACUGCAGAAGAAGCACCGGCUAACUCCGUGCCAGCAGCCGCGGUAAUAC
rnacentral:rRNA from 1 species